CUCAGUUACUGGUCUCCCCACUACAACUAAGUUACUGGUCUCCCCCAUACAACUCAGUUACUGGUCUCCCCCAUACAGCCCAGUUACUGGUCUCCCCAAUACUGCUCAGUUACUGGUCUCCCCACUACAACUCAGUUAGGGGUCUCCACCUAUAUCUCAGUUACUGGUCUCCCCACUACAACUCAGUUACUGGUCUCCCCCCUACAACUAAUUUACUGGUCUCCCCCAUACAACUCAGUUACUGGUCUCCCCCAUACAGCCCAGUUACUGGUCUCCCCCAUACUGCUCAGUUACUGGUCUCCCCACUACAACUCAGUUAGGGGUCUCCACCUAUAUCUCAGUUACUGGUCUCCCCACUACAACUCAGUUACUGGUCUCCCCCCUACAACUAAUUUACUGGUCUCCCCCAUACAACUCAGUUACGGGUCUCCCCACUACAACUCAGUUAGGGGUCUCCACCUAUAUCUCAGUUACUGGUCUCCCCCCUACAACUCAGUUACUGGUCUCCCCCCUACAACUAAUUUACUGGUCUCCCCAAUACAACUCAGUUACUGGUCUCCCCACUACAACUCAGUUACUGGUCUCCCCACUACAACUCAGUUACUGGUCACCCCACUACAACUCAGAUACUGGUCUCCCCACUACAACUCAGUUACGGGUCUCCCCACUACAACUCAGUUACGGGUCUCCCCACUACAACUCAGUUACUA
rnacentral:lncRNA from 1 species